CUUUACUAUAACUUGGCCCUGAAACCCGGAUUUAUCUGUGUAGCAUAGGUGGGACUCUUUGAAGCCGUGGCGCUAGCCAUGGUGGAGAGGUUAGUGAAAUACCACCCUGAUGAAUCUGUGUUUCUAACCCAGCAUCCUUAUCGGGUGCGGGGACACGGUCUGGUGGGUAGUUUGACUGGGGCGGUCGCCUCCCAAAUUGUAACGGAGGCGCACAAAGGUUCCCUCAGCCUGGACGGAAAUCAGGCGGCGAGUGUAUAGGCACAAGGGAGCUUGACUGUGAGACGGACAAGUCGAGCAGGUGCGAAAGCAGGUCUAAGUGAUCCGGUGGUCCCGUAUGGAAGGGCCAUCGCUCAACGGAUAAAAGGUA
rnacentral:rRNA from 1 species